UCUCCGUAGGUGAACCUGCGGAGGGAUCAUUACAGAGUUCACGCCCUCGCGGGUAGGUUUCCCACCCACUGUUAUCGUUACUGUGUUGCUUUGGCGGCCCGCCGGGCCCCGCUCGGCUGCCGGCUCCGGCUGGCGCGCCCCCGACAGAGGCCCAGCAAACUCUGAAUGUUAGUGUCGUCUGAGUACUAUAUAAUAGUUAAAACUUUCAACAACGGAUCUCUUGGUUCUG
rnacentral:misc_RNA from 1 species